UUAGCGUUAGCUCAGUUGGUAGAGCAAAGGACUGUAGUUAUUACCAAAUCAGUAUUCCUUAGGUCACCGGUUUGAACCCGGUACGGUAGA
rnacentral:tRNA from 1 species